UACGUAGGGGGCUAGCGUUGUCCGGAAUCAUUGGGCGUAAAGCGCGUGUAGGCGGCCCGAUAAGUCCGCUGUGAAAGUCCAGGGCUCAACCCUGGGAUGCCGGUGGAUACUGUCGGGCUCGAGUCCGGAAGAGGCGAGUGGAAUUCCUGGUGUAGCGGUGAAAUGCGCAGAUAUCAGGAGGAACCCCAAUGGCGAAGGCAGCUCGCUGGGACGUGACUGACGCUGAGACGCGAAAGCGUGGGGAGCAAACAGG
rnacentral:rRNA from 1 species